AAGUCGUAACAAGGUAACCGUAGGUGAACCUGCGGUUGGAUCAUUACCAAUAUAUUUUCUUUUUUUUCUUUUUUUUUCCCCCGCGGAAUUGUCUUGCUCGCGCAAGUCGCUCCUUGCUGGUAAAUUGACUUGUGUGUUUUUCACAUUUGUGGAAGCUGGCGAGAUGCCAGCGAAGGAUUUACGAAAAGCAAAGGAGCCAACGAGCGAGCGAGCGAGCAGAAGGGGGAAAAAAAGAAAAAAGAAAAUAGGUACCAACAUGUGAACCUGUAAUUGUGCAUUGGCGGCUGUUCAGUGCCUUGUGCUGAACAUGCAUUCAGUUGCAAAGGCCGUCGAUAUAUGUUUCAAACAUUUCUACUUCUAUUUAUUCUUUGUCUUCUUUCUUUUGAUUAAGAAACCAAGAACAACUAUUAACAAUGGAUCUCUUGGCUCUC
rnacentral:misc_RNA from 1 species